rnacentral:lncRNA from 1 species
GCACUACUGGCCUGAAGAAGUAUACAACAACAUGAGUUAUAAGGCACAAUCUCAAAGUAUACGACAACAUGAGUUAUAAGGCACAUCUUGAAGUAUAUGAUAGCAUGAGCUAUAAGGCACAAUCUUGAUCAUAUCAUCAUAAUUCAUAAUAUAUCUCUUUUUGGAAAGUGAUAAAUGGAAGUAUGAACAAUGCCAAUAUCAAAGUCUACACAGUCAGAGGUGGAAUACUUUGCAAAGCAAGCUUAAACUUAAUUUUAAAAACACUGCCAUAUCUUCAUAUAAUCAAUUUAGUUUCAAGGUUCCAUGUGAUGCACAAUCUCGUCAAUAUCUGAUCAUGCUGAACCUAUUACUUUCAAUUUUUUAUUACUUAAUAAGUACUGUCUUUC